CGUGAAAUUCAUGCCUGAAAAAUUGGAGGCGUGGCUUACAGUCAGCUGUGUUUAGGUCUGCAUGAAAAUCUUGUCAUAUCCGCAGGGUAACUGGUAUGGAAAAAAUCCACUUACCUUUUCAUGCGACAUUGUGGUGAAAUGUUUUGUGUGUCUGCAACAAUGUUUGAAGAGGUUGCAUGAAAUUCCUGUCUGCAAAUUUCAAACCGGGCGAGCAGUCUGAGGACGAUCAGUUGGCUGCUGAUUCUCUUGAAGUGAACAUCGUUUAAUUUUUUGUCGGUUCAGCUGGUUAUUUUCUGACAUUCCUCGUCGCGCUGUUUCAGUCAGAUUUACAGUUCGAUGACCCUCAGGCCAAUUGAAAUAUAAAUCCGGAGGUGCGCAAGGACCAGCAAAACCAGGCCAUCAAACGUCGCAAAAUGAAGACAAGUAAAGCUGAGAAAGGCGCUGGCAGGAACCAACAGAAAAUUAAGGCUGCUAAAGUGCUCCAGCAUACCGGCCCGCACACCGUUAGCGAAAAUCCGGAUACGUGAAUCAAAUUCAACAAAAAUAGGAGAAAUCCACCCAACUUAAACCCUUCACCCGGAAAGCAGCUAAAUUGGUAGUGAAUUGUGAUUAAUAGUGUUUUAUGAACUGUGAUUAAUAUUGUGGUUUAAAGAUCGAAAAAUCAAAUCUUUUGACAAUAAAAAGUUUCAAGAACUAUUAA